UGUAUACUAACCGUUAUUGGUACACAUUUUACUGUUUUAGAGUGUUUUGUAUACUAUUAAUACGGACGUAUUUGUGGAAUGCAUUUGAUUUGUCCGAUAAGUACACUAUGCGCGUACGUACACUAUUCCGGUGCGAGUAUCGGAGUAAAAUAUCGCCGAAAAGACAUUUUUUUUUUUUUACAUAAAUAGAUAAAUAUUAUAACAUUCGAAAUAGCCGGUCGUUCGGAUUCCUAAAAUAUCAGUCUCGGUACUGGGCGUAUUACGCAUAUUAAUCAUUAUU